CCAACCUCAGCUUCCUGUGGUCAGAGACUGCAGAGGGAAUGAACACACUUUUCUUCAAAUGAAAGCAAAAACCAGUUUGGGUAGCUUUCCUGGAGAGGAGCUGAGAUCUCACCAGUUCUGCAAGAGAAGCUGAACUGUCAAGUCACAGAUCUGAACAAGGAGGCAUCUAUUUCUUUCAACAAUAACUCAGGAAUAGCCAUGGGCCAAAAUGAAGGCAGUCCCUCUGGCUUACAGGAGCUGUGAGUCUCAAAGACUUCCUUUAUGCAGAGUGGAAGGAAACAGCCUGCCACACUCAAAACUGAAGGGAAAGCAGAGAUCAGGGCCUUCUUGGAUCACUGGUGAGAGCCUGUCACCAGGAAAGGUGAGCCCCGCAGGGAGCAAGAGCUACAACUAA
ensembl:lncRNA